rnacentral:rRNA from 1 species
CACGUAUUUAGCCGUCACUUCUUCUGUUGGUACCGUCAUUUUUUUCUUCCCAACUGAAAGCACUUUACAUUCCGAAAAACUUCAUUGUGCACACAGAAUUGCUGGAUCAGACUCUUGGUCCAUUGUCCAAUAUUCCCCACUGCUGCCUCCCGUAGGAGUAAGGGCCGUGUCUCAGUCCCCUUGUGGCCGAUCACCCUCUCAGGCCGGCUACCCAUCAUCGCCUUGGUGAGCCGUUACCUCUCCAACUAGCUAAUGGGACGCAAAGCUCUCUCACAGCGCAUAUAGCUUUCAUAAUCUUAGGAUGCCCUAAAAUCAUAAUAUCAGGUAUUAGCAUUCGUUCCAAAUGUUGUCCCUAUCUGUGAGGCAAGUUCUUUACGCGUUACUCACCCGUCCGCCACCCAAACUGAAGUUCAAGUUGACUUGCAUGUGUUAAGCAUUCUGUCAGCGUUUCAUCCUGAGCCAGGAUCAAACUCU